GGUCCCAUAGCUCAGCUGGUUAGAGCAUCGUACUAAUAGUUAUUCACAAUAACUGUUUGGUAAUGCGGAGGUCUACGGUUCGAUCCCGUAUGGGACCA